CAUUUGAGACAGAGGGCAAGGGCCAACCCAGACAACGGGCUGAGAAAUCAAGAUCAAGGCGUGAGCAAGUGCCAUGUCCGGUGAGAGCGACCAUCUUCCAGGAUGGCUCUUCGAAUACUGAGUCCUCAAAUGGUGGAGAAGCAGAAGGGGAGAAAAGAUCAUAUCAUGCAUGAAGCCUCUCUUCUCAGAGCCUCACUACCAUUUAUAAAGAUCCA
rnacentral:lncRNA from 1 species